GGAGCUGUGGCUCAGUGUUACAGUACUCACCUCACAUAUGGGAGGUACUGGGUUCAAUCCUCAGCACCA
rnacentral:tRNA from 1 species